AGGCAAUGAAGAAACCCAAUCCUUGUGCCCCGGAGAUGGAUCCAACCAUCGCUGACGGUGACACAAACCCUCUAAGAAGUUCUGAGCCU
rfam:Musa acuminata subsp. malaccensis Doubled-haploid Pahang (DH-Pahang) genomic chromosome, chr1